UCUUCUAAGUCAGUGUUUUUACCUUCAGGUCCUCCCUAGAGACCCAUCCAGCUCUUUAGUCUCAUUGUCUUCUCAAAAUAUGCCUCUUCACCAGCUAUAUUAUUUAUUCACACUUUAUAGAUGAAAAUGUCCCAGAAAGCCUAAGCAACUUGCAAAAGUUCUUUUACGAUAGAAAGUGACAGAGUCAAAAUUUAACCAACUUGUCUUUAAAGCUUGUUUUAUUUACAUUUAAUAUUCCAUAGCACAUAUAGCAUCAUGUUCUCUGUCAUUAUUCAGUAGACUUCCCUCAGGCAUAAAUUAUAUCUUGUUUAUUUUUGCAUUCUAAAGUCUAACAAAGUGUUUAACACAUAGAAGAUGUCCUCUAAAGGUUUUUAUAAUAAAUGAUCAUAAUAAUACCAGGCCUAUUUUUAUGUCUGUAGUGAAAGAGUAUGAUUGUAAAAUGUAAAGUACCAAUUUAUGCUUUUUAUUUCCCAUUCAUUGCUAACAUUAUUUUGUUCCACCUGUUUUGUGCAGCCUAUUCCAGUGACACAUCACUUCUUUUUCUUUCUAGAAUAAAAUAAAACAGUCUGGGACAUUGGCUGCUCUAAAUUACAGAAGUAGGAAAAGGCAGGCUGUGGGAACAAUGGAGAUAUAUCAAUUUCAGCUUGGACAAACUGAGAGAAAAUUAAAAAGAUGGAGUCUCACUCUGUUGCCUAGACUGGAGUCAGUGGCACGAUCUCAGCUCA